GACGAACGCUGGCGGCGUGCUUAACACAUGCAAGUCGAACGGAAAGGCCCUGCUUUUGUGGGGUGCUCGAGUGGCGAACGGGUGAGUAACACGUGAGUAACCUGCCCUUGACUUUGGGAUAACUUCAGGAAACUGGGGCUAAUACCGGAUAGGAGCUCCUGCUGCAUGGUGGGGGUUGGAAAGUUUCGGCGGUUGGGGAUGGACUCGCGGCUUAUCAGCUUGUUGGUGGGGUAGUGGCUUACCAAGGCUUUGACGGGUAGCCGGCCUGAGAGGGUGACCGGCCACAUUGGGACUGAGAUACGGCCCAGACUCCUACGGGAGGCAGCAGUGGGGAAUAUUGCACAAUGGGCGGAAGCCUGAUGCAGCAACGCCGCGUGCGGGAUGACGGCCUUCGGGUUGUAAACCGCUUUCGCCUGUGACGAAGCGUGAGUGACGGUAAUGGGUAAAGAAGCACCGGCUAACUACGUGCCAGCAGCCGCGGUGGUACGUAGGGUGCGAGCGUUGUCCGGAUUUAUUGGGCGUAAAGGGCUCGUAGGUGGUUGAUCGCGUCGGAAGUGUAAUCUUGGGACUUAACCCUGAGCGUGCUUUCGAUACGGGUUGACUUGAGGAAGGUAGGGGAGAAUGGAAUUCCUGGUGGAGCGGUGGAAUGCGCAGAUAUCAGGAGGAACACCAGUGGCGAAGGCGGUUCUCUGGGCCUUUCCUGACGCUGAGGAGCGAAAGCGUGGGGAGCGAACAGGCUUAGAUACCCUGGUAGUCCACGCUGUAAACGGUGGGUACUAGGUGUGGGGUCCAUUCCACGGGUUCCGUGCCGUAGCUAACGCUUUAAGUACCCCGCCUGGGGAGUACGGCCGCAAGGCUAAAACUCAAAGGAAUUGACGGGGCCCCGCACAAGCGGCGGAGCAUGCGGAUUAAUUCGAUGCAACGCGUAGAACCUUACCUGGGUUUGACAUGGAUCGGGAGUGCUCAGAGAUGGGUGUGCCUCUUUUGGGGUCGGUUCACAGGUGGUGCAUGGCUGUCGUCAGCUCGUGUCGUGAGAUGUUGGGUUAAGUCCCGCAACGAGCGCAACCCUUGUUCACUGUUGCCAGCACGUUAUGGUGGGGACUCAGUGGAGACCGCCGGGGUCAACUCGGAGGAAGGUGGGGAUGACGUCAAGUCAUCAUGCCCCUUAUGUCCAGGGCUUCACGCAUGCUACAAUGGCUGGUACAGAGAGUGGCGAGCCUGUGAGGGUGAGCGAAUCUCGGAAAGCCGGUCUCAGUUCGGAUUGGGGUCUGCAACUCGACCUCAUGAAGUCGGAGUCGCUAGUAAUCGCAGAUCAGCAACGCUGCGGUGAAUACGUUCCCGGG
rnacentral:rRNA from 1 species